UAUAUAUAUAUAAUUAGAUU
rnacentral:snRNA from 1 species